UACGGAGGGGGCUAGCGUUGUUCGGAAUUACUGGGCGUAAAGCGUGCGUAGGCGGUUUCGCAAGUCCGAUGUGAAAUCCCCGGGCUUAACCUGGGAACUGCGUUGGAAACUACGAAGCUAGAGUGCGGCAGAGGGGGGUGGAAUUCCAGGUGUAGCAGUGAAAUGCGUAGAGAUCUGGAGGAACACCGAUGGCGAAGGCAGCCCCCUGGGUUAGCACUGACGCUCAUGCACGAAAGCGUGGGGAGCAAACAGG
rnacentral:rRNA from 1 species